GCAACCCCAUUCCCUGCAAUGGUGGAACCCCCCCACACUCUCAAGUGGAUUGACUUGGGCCCUAAUUUGUUCUUUUUGGGUUGAGUCUGUCUAGGCUUGGCUUUGAGGAGCCAAGAUGGGCUUCGAUCGGAUAUUUGAGGCUUGAAGCUCGGCUCGUCCUGGGCAUAGGCUCUUGAUCCCAUGCUUAGGCCCAGCUUGGUCAAUGCUUAGGUCUACCUAGUAUGCUAUUUUUUAGGUGCUCAACUGAGUACCAAUGAGCAAAAAAUGUAUAUAUAUGGUGGUUAUAAUGAUAUAUUGAUAAUUGGAUUAGGAAAUAUAUUUUUGCCUACCAUAUAAUUAUAGUAAAAAGGUAGGGAAACUACACUCCUUGAUUGACUAUCCUCAAUAGUCAGAAGCGGGUGUGGUGCAAGAAUGCGCCAAGGUUUGAAAACUUUGAGAGUGGAAAUGCUUAGAAAGUGUCCGCAUAAAUUUAUAUAUUGAAAGUUAUUAAAAAUUUACGAUUAUAAAUUUAGCCUUUUCUUUUGUGUUUAGAAUGAUUAGCCUGUAGAGAUUUCUAAAAUACAUUAGAAAUUGAUUCAUCACAUCUAUCCUUUUUUUCUCAACUUGUGUCUAGUCCAUAAUUAAAGGUGAUAUGUACCACUCUAUCUCUUCCCAUGUAAACCCAAUGAUGGGGCUUACCCCUUUGAGAAAACAUGGCCCGAUAGCCAAGUCCCU
rnacentral:lncRNA from 1 species